UAGGCGGUGAUUGCUGCUCCUGCGUUAGGCGGUGAUUGCUGCUCCUGCGUGUUGCUUGUGCUGUGCAGGGGCUGGUGUUGCUCUUUUUUGGUGUUGUCAUCUUUGUUUGAAGUUAGAAGGUUCAAUCACGGUCUCAUCUACAGUGUUUUUACGGUUGAUCAAAUGGCGAAUGGCAAUAGAAAGAACAAUACCGUAUGGCUUUAUCCACAAGCGAGGAAACAAUAUAAUUCAAAUGACUGUGGAUACUAUGUAAUGAAAAAUAUGUUGGACAUUGUCACUGCUAAGAUAACUGAUUCUUGGAUGGAGGUAUUUAAUGACCCAAAAGAGUUAACAGCUGAGGAGAUGUAUGAAUUGCGAUUACGUUGGUCAACAUAUUUUUUGGAGUUAUUA